CACGAACAAAAUUUAAGUCGCUCUGGAUAAGAGCAUCUGCUAAAUGACUUAAA
rfam:Salmo salar isolate Sally breed double haploid chromosome ssa14, whole genome shotgun sequence.